GACGAACGCUGGCGGCGUGCUUAACACAUGCAAGUCGAACGGAAAGGCCCUGCUUUUGUGGGGUGCUCGAGUGGCGAACGGGUGAGUAACACGUGAGUAACCUGCCCUUGACUUUGGGAUAACUUCAGGAAACUGGGGCUAAUACCGGAUAGGAGCUCCUGCUGCAUGGUGGGGGUUGGAAAGUUUCGGCGGUUGGGAUGGACUCGCGGCUUAUCAGCUUGUUGGUGGGGUAGUGGCUUACCAAGGCUUUGACGGGUAGCCGGCCUGAGAGGGUGACCGGCCACAUUGGGACUGAGAUACGGCCCAGACUCCUACGGGAGGCAGCAGUGGGGAAUAUUGCACAAUGGGCGGAAGCCUGAUGCAGCAACGCCGCGUGCGGGAUGACGGCCUUCGGGUUGUAAACCGCUUUCGCCCGUGACGAAGCGUGAGUGACGGUAAUGGGUAAAGAAGCACCGGCUAACUACGUG
rnacentral:rRNA from 1 species